rnacentral:rRNA from 1 species
GAUGAACGCUAGCGGGAGGCUUAACACAUGCAAGUCGAGGGGCAUCACGAGGUAGCAAUACUUUGGUGGCGACCGGCGCACGGGUGAGUAACGCGUAUGCAACCUACCCUGUACAGGGGGAUAGCCCGGAGAAAUUCGGAUUAAUACCCCAUAAUGAUAUUUUAUGGCAUCAUAAAAUACUUAACGCUCAGGCGGUACGGGAUGGGCAUGCGUAACAUUAGCUAGUGGGUAGGGUAAUGGCCUACCAAGGCGACGAUGUUUAGGGGUCCUGAGAGGGUGAUCCCCCACACUGGUACUGAGACACGGACCAGACUCCUACGGGAGGCAGCAGUGAGGAAUAUUGGUCAAUGGGCGCGAGCCUGAACCAGCCAUCCCGCGUGAAGGAAGACUGCCCUAUGGGUUGUAAACUUCUUUUCCAGGGGAAUAAAAUCUCGAACGAGUUCGGGACUGAAGGUACCCUGGGAAUAAGCAUCGGCUAACUCCGUGCCAGCCGCCGCGGUAAGAC